AUUGAACGCUGGCGGCAUGCUUUACACAUGCAAGUCGAACGGUAACAGGGAGCUUGCUCCGCUGACGAGUGGCGAACGGGUGAGUAAUGCGUCGGAACGUGCCGAGUAGUGGGGGAUAACGCCACGAAAGGUGUGCUAAUACCGCAUACGUACCGAGGGAGACAGUGGGGGACCUUCGGGCCUCACGCUAUUCGGGCGGACGGCGUCAGAUUAGCUAGUUGGUGGGGUAAAGGCGUACCAGGGCGACGAUCAGGAGCGGGGCUGAGAGGAGGAUCCACCACACUGGGACUGAGACACGGCCCAGACUCCUACGGGAGGCAGCAGUGGGGAAUUUUGGACAAUGGGCGCAAGCCUGAUCCAGCCAUGCCGCGUGUCUGAAGAAGGCCUUCGGGUUGUAAAGGACUUUUGUCCGGGAGCAAAUGCUGGUGGCUAACAUCCACCGGAGCUGAGAGUACCGGAAGAAUAAGCACCGGCUAACUACGUGCCAGCAGCCGCCGUAACAC
rnacentral:rRNA from 1 species